rnacentral:rRNA from 1 species
GAUGAACGCUGGCGGCGUGCUUAACACAUGCAAGUCGAACGGAAAGGCCCUGCUUUUGUGGGGUGCUCGAGUGGCGAACGGGUGAGUAACACGUGAGUAACCUGCCCUUGACUUUGGGAUAACUUCAGGAAACUGGGGCUAAUACCGGAUAGGAGCUGCUGCUGCAUGGUGGGGGUUGGAAAGUUUCGGCGGUCGGGGAUGGACUCGCGGCUUAUCAGCUUGUUGGUGGGGUAGUGGCUUACCAAGGCUUUGACGGGUAGCCGGCCUGGGAGGGUGACCGGCCACAUUGGGACUGCGAUACGGCCCAGACUCCUACGGGAGGCAGCAGUGGGGAAUAUUGCACAAUGGGCGGAAGCCUGAUGCAGCGACGCCGCGUGCGGGAUGACGGCCUUCGGGUUGUAAACCGCUUUCGCCUGUGACGAAGCGUGAGUGACGGUAAUGGGAAAAGAAGCACCGGCUAACUACGUG